rnacentral:misc_RNA from 1 species
AGAGCACCAAGAAGAGACGCAGCAGCAUAUACGCAUCCAUCCACCCACUCGAAACAGACCAACCCCUACCCUACCCUGCAGGCUGCAGCGCGCGCAGAGGGGGAAGGAGCUCCAGCAAAAAGUUUGUCCAGCUCCUCCUCCUCCUACUACACCGGCUAGGAGGAAUCUGAUCACCGAGCACCAUGGCGCGGCGGCCGCAGCCCAUGCCGAACCUGGUGCCCACGCUCCUCCUGCUCCUGCUCGUCGUCGCCGCCGCGGUCGUGAGAGCCGACGACGACGAGAAGUGCAGCAACCCGUGCGGGAACCCCUGCGGCGAGCCGUGCGUGUACGCCAGCCCGCCGCCGCCGCCCGUGUACUCGCCCCCGCCGCCGCCGCCGACGCCGGAGUACUACCCGCCGACGACCCCGACCCCGACCACGCCCUACUGCCCGCCGCCCCCUUUGGGCGGCGGCGGCGGCUACGAGCCGUCGCCCGGGUACACGCCGUCGACGCCCUACACGCCCGGCUACAACCCCACGCCCUCCGGGUCCGGCUGGUACGCGCCGCCCUACACGCCGCCGUCCGCAGGGACGCUGUACCCGCAGGACCCCGGGUUCCGGCCCAACGCCGCGCCGCGGCGCGCCGCGACCCUCUUCUCCCUCGCCGCGGCGGUGGCCUGCGCCUGCUUCGGCUUGUUGUGACCGACCGACCGGACGGAUCGGAGGCCGCGAAUCGCGCACGUACGGUACGGUACGGUACCGACGACCUGCGCCCGUCGUGGUGGUCGUCGUCAAGUCGACCGCAGACUGCAUGCUGGGUUUAGUUCCGCGCGCUCCGUGUUGGUGUUAAUAAUAAGAUUAGAGGAAGGAUUUAAGUUGGGUUUCGGUAAGAUUUUUUUCUUCUUCUUCCACUCACUUCGUCGUGUCGUUCUUUUUUUUUUGUUUAGUAUAAAUUCAUCGUUCUUGUGAUGUACUUGUUAAUUGUUACUAUACAUGUUCGUUGCUCCAUCUGUUUUUUUUUUCAUCGUCAAAGGAACACACGACGUUCAUCCAUCUGUUUCAGGUGGGAUCAAACAUUCAAACUCAAAUAACAUGUAUGCAUGUCUUAUGCCCCCGAGGCCCCAGAACAUAAUCUGAGUUAACCGUGUUCAAAUUUUUUCCCC